AACCCCCUUGAAGACGACGAGGUAGAUAGGGCAGGGGUGGAAGUGUGGUAACACACGGAGCUGACUGUUACUAAUAGGGUGAGGGCUUGACCAA
rnacentral:rRNA from 1 species